AUACUUAGCUGGCAGAGGAGAUACCAUGAUCACGAAGGUGGUUUUCCCAGGGCAAGGCUUAUCCAUUGCACUCAGGGUGUGCUGACUCCUGCAAUUUCUCCAAAUGUGGGAACUAAACUGCAUAAUUUGUGAUAGUGAGAGACUGUGUUCUCACUUUCCCCUA
rnacentral:snRNA from 1 species